AGAGUUUGAUCAUGGCUCAGGAUGAACGCUGGCGGCGUGCCUAACACAUGCAAGUCGAGCGGGGUUUUUAGAAAGCUUGCUUUUUAAAAACUUAGCGGCGGACGGGUGAGUAACGCGUGGGUAACCUGCCCUAUACACAGGGAUAACAUUGAGAAAUUGAUGCUAAUACCUGAUAAGCCGACAUAUAGGCAUCUAUAAGUUGGAAAAACUGAGGUGGUAUAGGAGGGGCCCGCGUCUGAUUAGCUAGUUGGUGGGGUAAAGGCCUACCAAGGCGACGAUCAGUAGCCGACCUGAGAGGGUGACCGGCCACAUUGGGACUGAGACACGGCCCAGACUCCUACGGGAGGCAGCAGUAGGGAAUUUUCGGCAAUGGGGGCAACCCUGACCGAGCAAUGCCGCGUGAGCGAUGAAGGAUUUCGGUCUGUAAAGCUCUGUUGUAAGGGAAAAAGGAUGUAUAUAGGGAAUGAUAUAUGUUUGAUGGUACCUUACCAGAAAGCCACGGCUAACUACGUGCCAGCAGCCGCGGUAAUACGUAGGUGGCAAGCGUUAUCCGGAAUUAUUGGGCGUAAAGGGUGCGUAGGCGGUUUGUUAAGUCUGAAGUAAAAGCCAGUGGCUCAACCAUUGUAAGCUUUGGAAACUGGCAGACUAGAGUGCAGGAGAGGCAAAUGGAAUUCCAUGUGUAGCGGUAAAAUGCGUAGAUAUAUGGAGGAACACCAGUGGCGAAGGCGGUUUGCUGGCCUGUAACUGACGCUGAGGCACGAAAGCGUGGGGAGCAAAUAGGAUUAGAUACCCUGGUAGU
rnacentral:rRNA from 1 species